ACUCUGGCACCACUCUCCAGGCUGCCAUGGGGCCCAGCACCCCUCUCCUCAUCUUGUUCCUUUUGUCAUGGUCGGGACCCCUCCAAGGACAGCAGCACCACCUUGUGGAGUACAUGGAACGCCGACUAGCUGCUUUAGAGGAACGGCUGGCCCAGUGCCAGGACCAGAGUAGUCGGCAUGCUGCUGAGCUGCGGGACUUCAAGAACAAGAUGCUGCCACUGCUGGAGGUGGCAGAGAAGGAGCGGGAGGCACUCAGAACUGAGGCCGACACCAUCUCCGGGAGAGUGGAUCGUCUGGAGCGGGAGGUAGACUAUCUGGAGACCCAGAACCCAGCUCUGCCCUGUGUAGAGUUUGAUGAGAAGGUGACUGGAGGCCCUGGGACCAAAGGCAAGGGAAGAAGGAAUGAGAAGUACGAUAUGGUGACAGGUAAAUAAUCUGAAAGCAGGCCCCUAACUCUCUCAGAACCGAUAUUCUUCCUUCCUUGCUUCUUACUCUUUUUUUCGCUUUGUCCCAGUCCAUUGUGGCUCUGUCUUCUGGAAUCUGUUUUAGGGAAACCUCUGUAAUGCCAGGUCUAUUAAAGAGAGGUUCUGGGGAUCCAGGCCGCUGUGGUACCCGCUCUUUCUCAAUUCUCCCUAAGAGUGGAGGCAACCACUGGGCAAAUGCUCACUAUUCUCCAGAUCACCUACCCUAGGGGAGUUCCUGCUGGAGGCAUCUAAUUCUUGUCUCUAUUUCCUUUUCCUGUGCUUUUCUCAUCAGACUGUGGCUACACAAUCUCUCAAGUGAGAUCAAUGAAGAUUCUGAAGCGAUUUGGUGGCCCGGCUGGUCUAUGGACCAAGGAUCCACUGGGGCAAACAGAGAAGAUCUACGUGUUAGAUGGGACACAGAAUGACACAGCCUUUGUCUUCCCAAGGCUGCGUGACUUCACCCUUGCCAUGGCUGCCCGGAAAGCUUCCCGAGUCCGGGUGCCCUUCCCCUGGGUAGGCACAGGGCAGCUGGUAUAUGGUGGCUUUCUUUAUUUUGCUCGGAGGCCUCCUGGAAGACCUGGUGGAGGUGGUGAGAUGGAGAACACUUUGCAGCUAAUCAAAUUCCACCUGGCAAACCGAACAGUGGUGGACAGCUCAGUAUUCCCAGCAGAGGGGCUGAUCCCCCCCUACGGCUUGACAGCAGACACCUACAUCGACCUGGCAGCUGAUGAGGAAGGUCUUUGGGCUGUCUAUGCCACCCGGGAGGAUGACAGGCACUUGUGUCUGGCCAAGUUAGAUCCACAGACACUGGACACAGAGCAGCAGUGGGACACACCAUGCCCCAGAGAGAAUGCUGAGGCUGCCUUUGUCAUCUGUGGAACCCUCUAUGUCGUCUAUAACACCCGUCCUGCCAGUCGGGCCCGCAUCCAGUGCUCCUUUGAUGCCAGCGGCACCCUGACCCCUGAACGGGCAGCACUCCCUUAUUUUCCCCGCAGAUAUGGUGCCCAUGCCAGCCUCCGCUAUAACCCCCGAGAACGCCAGCUCUAUGCCUGGGAUGAUGGCUACCAGAUUGUCUAUAAGCUGGAGAUGAGGAAGAAAGAGGAGGAGGUUUGAGGAGCUAGCCUUGUUUUUUGCAUCUUUCUCACUCCCAUACAUUUAUAUUAUAUCCCCACUAAAUUUCUUGUUCCUCAUUCUUCAAAUGUGGGCCAGUUGUGGCUCAAAUCCUCUAUAUUUUUAGCCAGUGACAAUCAAAUUCUUUCAGCUCCUUUGUUUCAUACAGAACUCCAGAUCCUGAGUAAUCCUUUUAGAGCCCAAAGAGUCAAAACCCUCAAUGUUCCCUCCUGCUCUCCUGCCCCAUGUCAACAAAUUUCAGGCUAAGGAUGGCCCAGACCUAGGGCUCUAACCUUGUAUGCGGGCAGGCCCAGGGAGCAGGCAGCAGUGUUCUUCCCCUCAGAGUGACUUGGGGAGGGAGAAAUAGGAGGAGACGUCCAGCUCUGCCCUCUCUUCCUCACUCCUCCCUUCAGUGUCCUGAGGAACAGGACUUUCUCCACAUUGUUUUGUAUUGCAACAUUUUGCAUUAAAAGGAAAAUCCACUGCUC
rnacentral:sRNA from 1 species